GACGAACGCUGGCGGCGUGCUUAACACAUGCAAGUCGAACGGAAAGGCCCUGCUUGCAGGGUGCUCGAGUGGCGAACGGGUGAGUAACACGUGGGUGAUCUGCCCCUUACUUUGGGAUAAGCCUGGGAAACUGGGUCUAAUACUGGAUAGGACCAUGCUGUAGGUGGUGUGGUGGAAAGAUUAGUUUCGGUAAGGGACGAGCUCGCGGCCUAUCAGCUUGUUGGUGGGGUAAUGGCCUACCAAGGCGUCGACGGGUAGCCGGCCUGAGAGGGUGGACGGCCACAUUGGGACGGAGAUACGGCCCAGACUCCUACGGGAGGCAGCAGUGGGGAAUAUUGCACAAUGGGCGCAAGCCUGAUGCAGCGACGCCGCGUGGGGGAUGACGGCCUUCGGGUUGUAAACUCCUUUCAGCCAUGACGAAGCCUUCGGGUGACGGUAGUGGUAGAAGAAGCACCGGCUAACUACGUG
rnacentral:rRNA from 1 species